UGCAGUCGAGCGAGAACCAGUCCUUCGGGACUGGGGACAGCGGCGAACGGGUGAGUAACACGUGGGUAAUCCACCCUUGGUACCGGGAUAGCCCGGGGAAACUCGGAUUAAUACCGGAUGGCCCAACAGCUCUUCGGGGCGGUUGGAAAAGGUAGCUUCGGCCUCCGACCAAGGACGAGCCCGCGGCGGAUUAGCUUGUUGGCGGGGUAACGGCCCACCAAGGCGACGAUCCGUAGCUGGUCUGAGAGGACGAUCAGCCACACUGGGACUGAGACACGGCCCAGACUCCUACGGGAGGCAGCAGUGGGGAAUCUUGCGCAAUGGGCGAAAGCCUGACGCAGCGACGCCGCGUGAGGGAAGAAGGCUUUCGGGUUGUAAACCUCUUUCAGGAGGGACGAAGCUACUCGGGUUAAUAGCCCAGAGGGUGACGGUACCUCCAGAAGAAGCCCCGGCUAACUACGUGCCAGCAGCCGCGGUAAUACGUAGGGGGCAAGCGUUGUCCGGACUUAUUGGGCGUAAAGAGCGUGUAGGCGGCCAAACAGGUCUGUUGUGAAAACUCGAGGCUCAACCUCGAGACGCCGAUGGAAACCGUUUGGCUAGAGUCCGGAAGAGGAGAGUGGAAUUCCUGGU
rnacentral:rRNA from 1 species